rnacentral:rRNA from 1 species
UUAAGUCCCGCAACGAGCGCAACCCUUGUCUUUAAUUGCCAUCAUUCAGUUGGGCACUUUAAAGAGACUGCCGGUGUUAAACCGGAGGAAGGUGGGGAUGACGUCAAGUCCUCAUGGCCUUUAUGCCCAGGGCUACACACGUGCUACAAUGGGUGGUACAAAGAGAUGCAAUCUCGCAAGAGCAAGCAAACCUCAAAAAGCCAUCCUCAGUUCGGAUUGGAGUCUGCAACUCGACUCCAUGAAGUCGGAAUCGCUAGUAAUCGCGGAUCAGCACGCCGCGGUGAAUACGUUCCCGGGCCUU